rnacentral:rRNA from 1 species
AUUGAACGCUGGCGGCAGGCUUAACACAUGCAAGUCGAGCGGGGUGAUGUAGCUUGCUACAUUACCUAGCGGCGGACGGGUGAGUAAUGCUUAGGAAUCUGCCUAUUAGUGGGGGACAACAUUCCGAAAGGAAUGCUAAUACCGCAUACGCCCUACGGGGGAAAGCAGGGGAUCUUCGGACCUUGCGCUAAUAGAUGAGCCUAAGUCAGAUUAGCUAGUUGGUGGGGUAAAGGCCUACCAAGGCGACGAUCUGUAGCGGGUCUGAGAGGAUGAUCCGCCACACUGGGACUGAGACACGGCCCAGACUCCUACGGGAGGCAGCAGUGGGGAAUAUUGGACAAUGGGCGCAAGCCUGAUCCAGCCAUGCCGCGUGUGUGAAGAAGGCCUUUUGGUUGUAAAAGCACUUUAAGCGAGGAGGAGGCUACUUAGAUUAAUACUCUAGGAUAGUGGACGUUACUCGCAAGAAUAAGCACCGGCUAACUCUGUGCCA